rnacentral:rRNA from 1 species
CCUACGGGUGGCAGCAGUCGAGAAUCAUUCACAAUGGGGGAAACCCUGAUGGUGCGACGCCGCGUGGGGGAAUGAAGGUCUUCGGAUUGUAAACCCCUGUCAUGUGGGAGCAAAUUAAAAAGAUAGUACCACAAGAGGAAGAGACGGCUAACGCUGUGCCAGCAGCCGCGGUAAUACAGAGGUCUCAAGCGUUGUUCGGAAUCACUGGGCGUAAAGCGUGCGUAGGCUGUUUCGUAAGUCGGGUGUGAAAGGCGCGGGCUCAACCCGCGGACGGCACAUGAUACUGCGAGACUAGAGUAGUGGAGGGGGAACCGGAAUUCUCGGUGUAGCAGUGAAAUGCGUAGAUAUCGAGAGGAACACUCGUGGCGAAGGCGGGUUCCUGGACAUUAACUGACGCUGAGGCACGAAGGCCAGGGGAGCGAAAGGGAUUAGAUACCCGAGUAGUC